rnacentral:lncRNA from 1 species
UGUUUUAGCGCCAACAACAUCGACUUGGAACAAUCGAGUCUCUGUAGCCUGCUAAUUUGGCAUGUGCAUUAGUAAUGUAUGUUCGCUUUUGCCCACAGAAUCGAACAUCAAAAUAGCUGAAUACAUGUGCACGAAGUCCUUUAGCGUACUCUUUCUUAUCUUAUUUUAUACCAAAACUCUUACAUGACCUUGUUCUUAUAUGGAAAAACUCUUGCACGACCUGGUUCCACGAUAUGACAUGCUAGAUGGCCGAAACAAUCUAAACCUACUCCUACUUAUAGCAUCUAAAACGACACAGACUCCAGCGCCCUUUCCUACACUAGUAAGGCAUGCUAACUCCAAGACAUAGUAGUACAACAUGUAGGCAGCUAGCUAUGCAAACUCAUUGAACCAUAUAUGGAUUAGUACGACCCACCCAAGUACACAAAUUCUUAUGACAUGCAAGCCAGACUUGUUGGAAAACUAACUAAUCAAUCUAACCAAAUUAGACUCAAACUUGGCUAGUUAAACUAGCACGGACUCCUACUAAACUACUUGAAAUUAUUCUAACAAUUUAGAAGACCACAACAUUCAUGCAGACUAAGUAGUGCCAGCGUAUUAGUAUAUGCCAACAUUUAAUAAAUAGGAUUGGCUUUCUUAGUUACUUGUUUACCGAGAACGUGGAAACUUAGAGCAGUUCCAGUACGCUCAUCUUUGUCACCAUGGUUGCUGGAUGCUGAAACUGUUGGCCGAAUAGGUAGAGGAGAAGGCCCUGAGUAUUACAGAGAAGAGGGGAUCCUAGUAAGAUCCAAUAGUUUCGGAUCAGUGAAUUCGACGUACCUGACACACUCGCACAGUCGUCGCAUCUGAUCGCUUAGCUGUCUGUUUAUGGUUGUUAGUAUCAUCCAACCACCGUAGUGUGCCCUGUAUGUCAGGGAAGGAGAGUGCACAAGAGGAAUAUUUUUAAUGUUUACGUUCUUGGAUGAACCAAGUACAUGCUCAUUGUGUUCUUGGAUGAACCAAGUACAUGCUCAUUGUGUUAACAGUUUAAGAAGAAUAUAGUACAAACAUGAGAAGAUGUGAGAGGCACCUGGUCAAGAGUUUGUGUGCGACCUAUCAUGCAUCAUUCUAGUAUUUGUAAACAUCUGUGGCUCCUCACAAAAUACAAAAUUAGUACAGAAAUUGCAGGAAUUCAGAAGUACCUGUAUUUCCAAAAAAAGAGCACUAAACUCGAUUUAGAGGUGAGAUUUCAACAAUAUGAGUCAUAUACAUAUGACAAGAAUAUCAAGGUAUGAUGUUCUUGUAUCGCACCUUCAAACUUUAUCAAUUAUUUGACAAUUUAUAUUGGAUAAUAUGAGUGUAAGAAUUAUUUCCAUCUGAGCUCUUGCAUAAACUUCAAGAUUGUAGUGUGCAAAUUUUAACUGAAUAAGAAACUGAAACUAACAUAAGUUUUUGUCCAGGGAAAACAAAUAUUACAUCAACCAGAAAAAAGAAUAAGAUACAAAUUCAUGUUUUCCUUACUGUAACAUGCGAAAGGAUCCUCGCCAAGCUAUAAACAAAUGAGUUAAAUAAUUCUUAAGGCUUCUUCUGCAUGGAUCGAUUUCUCCUGAUUGUAAUGCAUAAGUGAUGUACAUCGAU